rnacentral:rRNA from 1 species
UACGUAGGUGGCAAGCGUUGUCCGGAAUUACUGGGUGUAAAGCGCGUGUAGGCGGGAGGCCAAGUCUGCUGUGAAAUCGCUCGGCUCAACUGGGCGGGGUCGGUGGAAACUGGUCACCUGGAGGACGGUAGAGGCGGGUGGAAUUCCGGGUGUAGCGGUGAAAUUCGUAGAUAUUCGGAAGAACACCAGUGGCGAAGGCGACUUACUGGACACAUAUUGACGCUGAGGUGCGAAAGCGUGGGGAGCAAACAGG